rnacentral:rRNA from 1 species
UACGUAGGGUCCAAGCGUUGUCCGGAAUUAUUGGGCGUAAAGAGCUCGUAGGCGGUGUGUCGCGUCGGAUGUGAAAGCCCGGGGCUUAACUUCGGGUCUGCAUUCGGUACGGGCAUGCUGGAGUUCGGUAGGGGAGACUGGAAUUCCUGGUGUAGCGGUGAAAUGCGCAGAUAUCAGGAAGAACACCGGUGGCGAAGGCGGCAUCCUGGACCGGCAUUGACGCUGAGGCGCGAAAGCUAGGGGAGCAAACGGG